rnacentral:tRNA from 1 species
ACCUUCCUUGUAUAGUGGUCAGCAUGCUCGACUGGUAUUCGAGCGGUCCGUGGUUCGAGUCCCGGGGAAGGCG